rnacentral:rRNA from 1 species
CAGCAGCCACGGUAAUACGAAGGGUGCAAGCGUUACUCGGAAUUACUGGGCGUAAAGCGUGCGUAGGUGGUGGUUUAAGUCCGUUGUGAAAGCCCUGGGCUCAACCUGGGAAUUGCAGUGGAUACUGGGUCACUAGAGUGUGGUAGAGGAUAGUGGAAUUUCCGGUGUAGCAGUGAAAUGCGUAGAGAUCGGAAGGAACAUCUGUGGCGAAGGCGACUAUCUGGGCCAACACUGACACUGAGGCACGAAAGCGUGGGGAGCAAACAGGAUUAGAGACCCGUGUAGUCCCUGUCUCUUAUAC